rnacentral:rRNA from 1 species
UACGUAGGGUGCAAGCGUUAUCCGGAAUUAUUGGGCGUAAAGAGCUCGUAGGCGGUUUGUCGCGUCUGCUGUGAAAACUGGAGGCUCAACCUCCAGCCUGCAGUGGGUACGGGCAAACUAGAGUGGCGGGUAGGGAGAUUGGAAUUCCUGGUGUAGCGGUGGAAUGCGCAGAUAUCAGGAGGAACACCGAUGGCGAAGGCAGAUCUCUGGGCCGUAACUGACGCUGAGGAGCGAAAGCAUGGGGAGCAAACAGG